AGUGAACGCUAGCGGUAGGCCUAACACAUGCAAGUCGAACGGCAGCACAGUAAGAGCUUGCUCUUACGGGUGGCGAGUGGCGGACGGGUGAGGAAUACAUCGGAAUCUACUUUUUCGUGGGGGAUAACGUAGGGAAACUUACGCUAAUACCGCAUACGACCUACGGGUGAAAGCAGGGGAUCUUCGGACCUUGCGCGAUUGAAUGAGCCGAUGUCGGAUUAGCUAGUUGGCGGGGUAAAGGCCCACCAAGGCGACGAUCCGUAGCUGGUCUGAGAGGAUGAUCAGCCACACUGGAACUGAGACACGGUCCAGGCUCCUACGGGAGGCAGCAGUGGGGAAUAUUGGACAAUGGGCGCAAGCCUGAUCCAGCCAUACCGCGUGGGUGAAGAAGGCCUUCGGGUUGUAAAGCCCUUUUGUUGGGAAAGAAAAGCAGCAGGUUAAUACCCCGCUGUUCUGACGGUACCCAAAGAAUAAGCACCGGCUAACUUCGUG
rnacentral:rRNA from 1 species